UCUCAGGGCAUCAUGGCGGGUGUGUCUGAGCUGGAACCAAGAGGGGAAGAUGCCUCCUUCCUGCUGUGAAACUUGAGGAACCUUCCUGGGAUGAUUUUACUGUGAUGUGCCUUCUCUUCCAUGAAGGUUAAAG
ensembl:lncRNA